ACUCCUACGGGAGGCAGCAGUGGGGAAUAUUGCACAAUGGGCGCAAGCCUGAUGCAGCCAUGCCGCGUGUGUGAAGAAGGCCUUCGGGUUGUAAAGCACUUUCAGCGGGGAGGAAGGCAAUGCGGUUAAUAACCGUGUUGAUUGACGUUACCCGCAGAAGAAGCACCGGCUAACUCCGUGCCAGCAGCCGCGGUAAUACGGAGGGUGCAAGCGUUAAUCGGAAUUACUGGGCGUAAAGCGCACGCAGGCGGUCUGUCAAGUCGGAUGUGAAAUCCCCGGGCUCAAUCUGGGAACUGCAUUCGAAACUGGCAGGCUUGAGUCUUGUAGAGGGGGGUAGAAUUCCAGGUGUAGCGGUGAAAUGCGUAGAGAUCUGGAGGAAUACCGGUGGCGAAGGCGGCCCCCUGGACAAAGACUGACGCUCAGGUGCGAAAGCGUGGGGAGCAAACAGGAUUAGAAACCCUGGUAGUCCCAUG
rnacentral:rRNA from 1 species